rnacentral:rRNA from 1 species
GGGCCCGCACAAGCGGUGGAGCAUGUGGUUUAAUUCGAUGCAACGCGAAGAACCUUACCAGGACUUGACAUACUACGAAUCCUUUUGAGAAAAAGGAGUGCCUUCGGGAAUGUAGAUACAGGUGGUGCAUGGCUGUCGUCAGCUCGUGUCGUGAGAUGUUGGGUUAAGUCCCGCAACGAGCGCAACCCUUAUUUUUAGUUACCAAUUCGUUGGGUUCUCUAGAAAGACUGCCGGUGACAAACCGGAGGAAGGUGAGGAUGACGUCAAGUCAGCAUGCCCCUUAUGUCCUGGGCUACACACGUGCUACAAUGGUUAAGACAAAGAGUCGCGAGCUUGCAAAAGUCAGCUAAUCUCAUAAACUUAGCCUAAGUUCGGAUAGGAGUCUGCAACUCGACUCCUUGAAGUUGGAGUC